rnacentral:rRNA from 1 species
UACGAAGGGGCUAGCGUUGCUCGGAAUCACUGGGCGUAAAGGGUGCGUAGGCGGGUCUUUAAGUCAGGGUGAAAUCCUGGAGCUCAACUCCAGAACUGCCUUUGAUACUGAGGAUCUUGAGUUCGGGAGAGGUGAGUGGAACUGCGAGUGUAGAGGUGAAAUUCGUAGAUAUUCGCAAGAACACCAGUGGCGAAGGCGGCUCACUGGCCCGGAACUGACGCUGAGGUGCGAAAGCGUGGGAGCAACAGG